rnacentral:rRNA from 1 species
AUGGUGGUUGAUGGUAGAUGGGACAAACUAAGAGAAGUUAAAUCAAAAAAGGGAAAGGUAGCAACAGCUACGAUGAUGAGCAUGGCUUUUUGGAAAGAUUUGAAGCUUUGCCUGAAUGUCUUUGAGCCUUUGGUAAAAGUCCUUCUUUUGGUUGAUGGGGAUGUCAAGCCAUCUAUGGGUUUUGUCUAUGGAGAAAUAGUGAAGGCAAAGAAAGAGAUCAAGGAAGUCUAUGGCAAUGUGGAGUCAUGUUACAAAUAUGUGAUUAAUAUUGUUGAGAAAAAGAUGAAAGAUCGACUUGACUCUCCGUUGCACUUGGCUGCAUACUUACUGAAUCCAUAUUAUAGCUAUGCUGAUACUAAUAUUUUUGAUGAUGGGACGAUUACCGAAGGGUUCAUUAGCUAUGUGGAGACCUUUUAUUAUGGUGAUGAUGACAAGCAAGAUCAAGCUGUCAAUUUUGAAUUAAAGAGAUUCCAGAACAGAGAAGGAUCAUUUGCAAAGAAGCUUGCGAGGAGUUGUCAGAAUUUUGAUUAUAAUGCAGGUAUGCAGUGUAAUUUUGUAAAGUCUAAUUUAUUCAGUAUAUAUUCAGAAUUUAUGCAAUACAUUGUACACUUAAUUCUCUGCUUUCAUUCAUAG